rnacentral:lncRNA from 1 species
CAUUUUAAGAUUUGCUGCUACUUACUGUAACAUGGGAUUCAAUCCAGCCUGGCUAAUUAGUUGCUGUGAAAAUGUUUUCUAAAUGGCAAUCAUUGUGAAUUUUGCUAGACUUGGUUUUGGUUUUGCAUACAUUUAAUCAUUGCUAACUUGGUCUGAAUUUUUUUUUUUUCUCAAAGAUAAAUAUUAUAUUAAGAAGAUUAAAAACUGGGUUCAAAAAUCCAUUACAAGACAUAUCAAGGUCCUCAAAAAAUGGAAAAGCUACUAAGGCCCUUAAUUAAGGGCUUACAACAAGGCCAACCAAGCUGAUGUCGCUGCCGCCGUACAUGAACCUUCCUUCUCCGGCAAGAUAAAACACACAGCAAAAAACAAAUAACACAGUGAAGAAUAAAGCCAACAUACAACUUGGACCCGCUGGAUACCUUUAAUAGCUCAUCUCUUUUGCUGAACCAAUCAUCAAAGGACCUGCAUUGGAGACCUCCAACUAUAGAAGCCAAAAAGGCUGCAACACAAACUGAAGAUCGAUAGAAGUCCCAAUGAGAACAAUAUUCAAUGAUAAUUAGCAGCACAAAGUUAUAAAAUGAACCUUGAAACAUUAAAAGAUUGGAGCCACAAGGAAGUUUCUCCAACCAGUGGAUCUAAAGAAGGGGAUGAUAAAGAGAAGAAGGUGAGACCCAGCUUUUCAAAGCCUUUAAGGUCAGCUGCCUUCAAUGGAGGCGAGCUAAGGACCGUGGAUCUGCCUUCUUCCCAUUCAAGAGCAAACUGAAGCUCCUCCCCUUAGCCACACCUAAAACCCUAAAAUUACAGAUCCGAUAGCAAAAACCAUCUUUAAUGAGUUCAAAGAUCUAUACAAAAAAUACCACAAAACAAAAAAUGACAACCAAUCCAUGGUGAGGAGGGUAACCCACAAUGGGAGGGAGAAGAGGGCUUCCCCUGACCGAAGCCAACGAAAAUGUCAGAGUAACUCGACGAGCCCGAGAGAGAAAAACCCAAGAAAGAAAAAGUGCAUAGUGGCCUAGACUUGGG